UUCGCAUAUCAAAAGCGGAGGAAAAGAAACCAACAGGGAUUGCCCUAGUAACGGCGAGUGAAGCGGCAACAGCUCAAAUUUGAAAGCUAGCCUUCGGGUUCGCAUUGUAAUUUGUAGAGGAUGAUUUGGGGAAGCCGCCUGUCUAAGUUCCUUGGAACAGGACGUCAUAGAGGGUGAGAAUCCCGUAUGUGACAGGAAAUGGCACCCUAUGUAAAUCUCCUUCGACGAGUCGAGUUGUUUGGGAAUGCAGCUCUAAAUGGGAGGUAAAUUUCUUCUAAAGCUAAAUAUUGGCGAGAGACCGAUAGCGCACAAGUAGAGUGAUCGAAAGAUGAAAAGCACUUUGGAAAGAGAGUUAAAAAGCACGUGAAAUUGUUGAAAGGGAAGCGCUUGCAAUCAGACUUGUUUAAACUGUUCGGCCGGUCUUCUGACCGGUUUACUCAGUUUGGACAGGCCAGCAUCAGUUUCGGCGGCCGGAUAAAGGCUCUGGGAAUGUGGCCUCCACUUCGGUGGAGGUGUUAUAGCCCAGGGUGUAAUACGGCCAGCCGGGACUGAGGUCCGCGCUCGGCUAGGAUG
rnacentral:rRNA from 1 species